rnacentral:rRNA from 1 species
UACAGAGGGGGCAAGCGUUGUUCGGAAUUACUGGGCGUAAAGGGCGCGUAGGCGGGUCCGUAAGUCAGGGGUGAAAUCCCACGGCCCAACCGUGGAAGUGCCUCUGAUACUGCGGGCCUCGAGGGGGGUAGGGGCGUGCGGAACUCAGGGUGGAGCGGUGAAAUGCGUAGAUAUCCUGAGGAACACCGGUGGCGAAAGCGGCGCGCUGGAUCCCUUCUGACGCUGAGGCGCGAAAGCCAGGGGAGCAAACGGG